UACAGAGGCCACAAGCGUUAGGCGGAAUCACUGGGCUUAAAGCGUGUGUAGGCGGGAUGGUAAGUACUUUGUGAAAUCCCACGGCUUAACCGUGGAAUUGCUUGGUAUACUGCCGUUCUUGAAUCAUCUAGGGGCAGCUGGAACUGAUGGUGGAGCGGUGAAAUGCAUAGAUAUCAUCAGGAACGCCAAUGGUGCAGACAAGCUGCUGGGGAUGUAUUGACGCUGAGGCACGAAAGCCAGGGGAGCAAACGGG
rnacentral:rRNA from 1 species